CUGGUUGCUAUAGUAACGGCUCAUUCACACUGAGUUGCCUGAAGGUGGUCAUAAACCGAUUUAAUUACAGUUUAAAUGAUUAGAUAAGGAAUAUUCUGCUACAGGAAAGUCACCAAGACUGAUCUGCUCAUGUGAUCAUGUACAUUGUUCCUGCAUCAUUUAGUUCCAGUUCUACCAACAUUCCACUAAACAGUAGAUUGAUUUUUGGAGCGGCUUUGUUGGAUUACGGCCAGAGAUGAAGAAUGAAGAAUGGUAGGUCUCCAGGAACAGUUGGUGAUUGUUGAUAUUCAUGGUGUUGUCUGAUGAGCCAUCUGAUUGUCAUCAAAGAAACAGAAUGUGAGCCACUAAAAGUAAAGCAGCCAUUAGGGUUAAUGGAUGGGAGUACAAAAACAGUACCGGAACACAAAAACGGUAUGCGAAUAAGGACGUCUUGGACUAAUUAGUGUGCUUGAAACAUUAUUCACACUGGUUCAUUUAAUCAGAUAUUUUAAUGUUGGACUGAUAGUACACUAACCUUCUAUAUGGUGUUUUGAAUGUCACAUUCUCAAGAUAACCCACUGUAUUUUCUACAAACAGAUGUGAAACAGACAUACACGCCUAUAUCCAAUUGACUUUAUUCAGCCUGAUAUGUAUUACACAACAUAAAAAAAGAAAGAAAAAUCAAAGCACUAGUCUGUGAUGACCCUUCCAUUUAUGGCCAUCCCAACAUGGGCACAUUCUUUAUAGGCAUAGAAGCUGUAGAGCAGCUUUUAUCACCAUUACCACCACAUGCUAAUAGUUUACCUGAGGUUUUGGGUUUUGAGAGAUUUUCCUUUAAUGCUACCAAUUGGUGGGUUAGUGCCCAAGACUAGAAAAAUUGAGGAAAUAAGUUACUGCUCAGUCACUUUUGUCCCAUCAUUCCUGAACUAUGUUUGGUGGAGAAACUCCAAUAACACACAAAAAUUAUAGGAAAUUGUUCCAUAUUGAAACUGUCCUACGUAUAGGAUCAUUUACCCAUUUGAAGAAAUUCAGCAUGAAGUCAUAAUUUCUGAUGAUUCCUCAAUCCUAAAUUCACACCCUUGGAUACAUUCAUGAUUAAGUUGGUGGAGUUUCCUUAUUAUUUGCUUCUAAAUGUACUCUGUUUAGAAGUUUUCUGUUUAAAAAAGCUCUAACAGCAUCUGAAUAUAUUGCGGUGUAAACCACUGAAUUUGUCCCAGGACAGUGUACCUGCUCAAGUAUGUAUAAGGAUUUUAGAUGUAGAGUUAUGCAGUUUAGCUUUCCUGGAGUGAAACAAGGCUGCUAAAUGGUCAGGUAAACUUUUAUUAAUAUUACUUUCAGAGGGAAAAUUCCCAACAACAACAAUAAAAGUACCUUUUAAACAUAUGGGGCAUAAAAAGACGGAGCAGAUCACGACCCCUGAACUCGAACACGCCUGCUUCGGCUCGUCGGCUUAUGAUCACCUCCAGUAUAUUUUACUAAUGUAGAGCAAACAGAAAUGCUUCUGAAAGCAAAUGCAACCAAAGCUUUCUGGCCAGUCAGAGCAGUUAGUGUGAAACUGGACUAAUCAUUUUGACAAAUAAGUGAUCUGCAUGGGAAUUACACAUCUAUAAAAAUCUAAAUUUGGAAUGUAGCCUUUUCUUGAAUAGACAAAAAAAAAAAAAAAAAGGAGCAAUUUAAAGCGUUUUUUUUUUCUUAUGUAACUAGUGUUAAGUAUAAUUAAAAUGUUUUUUUUUU